rnacentral:tRNA from 1 species
AAAUAAGAAACAAUAAAUUGUAUUUAGUUUCGACCUAAAAAUUUGGUAAUAAUAGUUACCCUUAUUUU